rnacentral:rRNA from 1 species
CCUACGGCGUGCUGCAGUGGGGAAUAUUGGACAAUGGGCGAAAGCCUGAUCCAGCCAUGCCGCGUGUGUGAAGAAGGCCUUCGGGUUGUAAAGCACUUUCAGUGGGGAAGAAAGCCUUGGGGCUAAUACCCUCGAGGAAGGACAUCACCCACAGAAGAAGCACCGGCUAACUCCGUGCCAGCAGCCGCGGUAAUACGGAGGGUGCGAGCGUUAAUCGGAAUUACUGGGCGUAAAGCGCGCGUAGGCGGUCUGAUAAGCCGGUUGUGAAAGCCCCGGGCUCAACCUGGGAACGGCAUCCGGAACUGUCAGGCUAGAGUGCAGGAGAGGAAGGUAGAAUUCCCGGUGUAGCGGUGAAAUGCGUAGAGAUCGGGAGGAAUACCAGUGGCGAAGGCGGCCUUCUGGACUGACACUGACGCUGAGGUGCGAAAGCGUGGGUAGCAAACAGGAUUAGAUACCCUGGUAGUC